CUGGGCCGAGCGCGCUCACGCCUGUAAUCUCAACACUUUGGCAGGCCGAGGCGGGUGGAUCACGAGGGUCUUGCUCUGUUGCCCAGGCUGGAGUACAAUGGCAUGAUCAUGGCUCACUGCAGCCUUUUCCUCUUGAGGCUUAAGGGAUCAUCCCACCUCAGCCUCCCAAGCAGCUGAGACUACAGAUGGCCCCACCUGGACCUGCCAACCAGUUCUGUGCCCCCACCCAGGAACUGACUCAGGAGAAGAGAACAGCUUCGACUCCCUAUGAGUUCAUCUGCAAGCCAACCAAUCAGCACUCCCGAUUCACUGGCCCCACCCACCAAAUUAUCCUAAAAACUCUGAUCCCUGAGUUUUAGGGGAAACUGAUUUGAGUAAUAAUAAAACUCGUCUCCCGCA